rnacentral:tRNA from 1 species
GGCCUGUUAGCUCAGUCAGUUGAGCAUGGCGCCAACAACGCCAAGGUCACAGGUUCGAUUCCCAUUUAGUCCC